AAAAAGCUAGCAAGAGGCUCUAUAUACUAAGGCUGCUGAAAAGGUCCAACGCGUGCAUAGACACAUUGAUUACUGUGUAUAUUAGACCUGUUUUGGAGUACGCGUGCCAAGUCUGGCAUUACAAUAUCGAACAAUAUUUAUGUGACGAUAUUCAAAAAAUUCAAAAACGUGCAUUGAGAAUCAUCCUUCCAUCGCAAAAAUAUGACGAAGCACUGAUCACGACCAACAUCACGUCGCUGAGAGAUCGCCGAGAAAAAUUAUGCGAACAUUUCUUUGAGAAGAAUAUUGACAAUGAAAAUCUCAAAGAUCUUUUACCAGAAACAAUUUUAUCUGGAUGAUCUAAGACCAAUAUGUAAAUAUCAUAAUUAUGUUUGUAGAACUGAACGUUUUAAGAAUUCGUUUUUGUCUCAAAGUAUAUUAAAGAUCAACAGUAAAUAAGUUUUUAGAAAUGUAUAAUCACCUCAACGGCAACCAAUCAGCGUGGAGAAUUUUCAAUAAUCACC